rnacentral:rRNA from 1 species
UACCAGCACCCCGAGUGGUCGGGACGAUUAUUGGGCCUAAAGCAUCCGUAGCCGGUUUUACAAGUCCUCCGUUAAAUCCAGCUGCUUAACAGAUGGGCUGCGGAGGAUACUAUAAGACUAGGAGGCAGGAGAGGCAAGCGGUACUCAGUGGGUAGGGGUAAAAUCCGUUGAUCCAUUGAAGACCACCAGUGGCGAAGGCGGCUUGCCAGAAUGCGCUCGACGGUGAGGAGUGAAAGCUGGGGGGAGCAAACCGGG